AACGAACGCUGGCGGCAGGCUUAACACAUGCAAGUCGAGCGCCCCGCAAGGGGAGCGGCAGACGGAUGAGUAACGCGUGGGAAUCUACCCAUCUCUACGGAAUAACGCAUGGAAACGUGUGCUAAUACCGUAUACGUCCUUCGGGAGAAAGAUUUAUCGGAGAUGGAUGAGCCCGCGUUGGAUUAGCUAGUUGGUGGGGUAAAGGCCUACCAAGGCGACGAUCCAUAGCUGGUCUGAGAGGAUGAUCAGCCACACUGGGACUGAGACACGGCCCAGACUCCUACGGGAGGCGGCAGUGGGGAAUAUUGGACAAUGGGCGCAAGCCUGAUCCAGCCAUGCCGCGUGAGUGAUGAAGGCCCUAGGGUUGUAAAGCUCUUUCACCGGUGAAGAUAAUGACGGUAACCGGAGAAGAAGCCCCGGCUAACUUCGUGCCAGCCGCCGCGGUAAUAC
rnacentral:rRNA from 1 species